GACUGCCAUCAUGUUCAAUGCUGAUUGUACCCGUAUGGUUACCGAAACCACGUUGUUUGAUGCAUCGCCAGGUUUGUCGUUAUUUCGGGCUUACAGUAUUCUGUGCUCGUUAGCCUAUGGUGUUAUUAGCGCACGCCAACCCACCCACGCCAAUGUUGCAGAUACGCACGUGGCAUCUGAUGAAGAAAUUAACAACACCAUCUCUAGAUGCUGGCGUGAAAACAAUACGCGUUGUGUCCACACACUGCAACCGCAGCCGAUUACCACUACAAACAUACGGGGAGCGCCAUGCGGCGCGUCUGUGUGGCCACGGCCGGGCCGGAUAAGUUCCCGGAGGCACUACAGGGCGCCGGCGUCGCCUUCACACCCUGCCAGCGGAUCCGCCAGCUCACCUCGCUGCCCACGCGCUCCGAGGCCAUGGCGCGCGGCCGCGACUGGGAGGCCAUGCUGCGAGCCAAGAUCGAGGCAGUCACGGCCACCCGCGAGCAGCAGAGGCGCCAGCGAGAGGCGGAGCGGCGCUAGCAGGAGGUGGAGCGACGCUGUGGCGAGACGGGGCGACGCGGGGGCGAAAUGGGGCGAUGCUAAGGCGACGCUGCGGCAAUAUGGGGCGACACUGGGGCAAUAUGGGGCGGCACUGGUGCCAGGCAGAACGACGCUGGGGCGAGAUGGGGCGACGCUGUAGCGACACUAAGGCGAGUCAGUGCGAUGAUGGGGAGAGAUGGGGAAACAACAGGGCGGGAUGGGGAGAAAUGGGGCGACACUGGGGCAACGUUGGGACGAGGCGGACCAAUGAUGGGAUAAGGCGGCUGGAAGACUUCACUGAACACGCGAGAGAACCGGCUGCUGGGUGUACGAGCGCAUGCUAAGUUCCCAGUGCACUGGCUGCGUUGCUGGUGGGCCGGCUAAGACCAAGGCCGACUAAGACCAAAUUUCUGUGAGAAGCGAUAACAGAUGCUUGUGCAAUGCAUGAUGUACCUAUAGUGAACUCACCGCAUGGAAAAGAGCAUGGGCAGUACUAUGUAACAAAGACAUCCUUUAUCUGAUUUGUAAUAAAAAAGGAAAGAUGAA